UACGUAGGGUGGAAGCGUUAAUCGGAAUUACUGGGCGUAAAGCGCACGUAGGCGGUUGGUUAAGUCAGAUGUGAAAGCCCCGGGCUCAACCUGGGAAUUGCAUUUGAAACUGGCCAACUAGAGUACGUGAGAGGGGGGUAGAAUUCCAAGUGUAGCGGUGAAAUGCGUAGAGAUUUGGAGGAAUACCAGUGGCGAAGGCGGCCCCCUGGCACGAUACUGACGCUCAGGUGCGAAAGCGUGGGGAGCAAACAGG
rnacentral:rRNA from 1 species